UACGAAGGGGGCUAGCGUUGUUCGGAAUUACUGGGCGUAAAGGGCGCGUAGGCGGCUGUGCAAGUCAGAUGUGAAAGCCCUGGGCUCAACCCAGGAUGUGCAUUUGAUACUGCACGGCUAGAGUGUCGGAGAGGAUGGUGGAAUUCCCAGUGUAGAGGUGAAAUUCGUAGAUAUUGGGAAGAACACCGGUGGCGAAGGCGGCGAGCUGGUCUGGUACUGACGCUGAGGCGCGACAGCGUGGGGAGCAAACAGG
rnacentral:rRNA from 1 species